GUUUUGGAUUUGAUUGAGAAAUAUUGGUAGAAGGGCUUUUCAUCUGUAAGUGAGGUGCAUCUACAGUAGGAGCUGGAGCUUCACAUAUGCAUAAAGGCAUCCCACACUUGCACUCUAUAACACCAGCAACAGAAUAAUGCUGGGUCUCUGUAUCUGUUUUGGAAUUUGUUUCUGUACCAAUGUCUAAUAUAGAAACUUUAUCUGUUACAGAAU
rnacentral:misc_RNA from 1 species